UGAAAAUUUAACACUUAAGUAGUUGAUACAAGGGCGAGUUUCAUAAAGUAUCGCAUUGUGUGACCUACUUGAAUGAGAGAUUUUUA
rnacentral:pre_miRNA from 1 species